CCCUCCAGGAGUGACUCUGCUGACACCCAGUGACCCGAACCAGAACUGCAGUCAAACUGGGGUUCCUCAGACUUUUUGGUCAAAAAAUAAAUCAAUCAAACAAACAUUAACCUAAAAUCAUUUUUGUUUAAUCAUAAAAACUGUCAACUUCAAAACAGCUUUUUAUUUAUUUAGUAAACAAGUUCUGCAGAAAAUGUCUUGAUUUGACCCAGUAAGACCCGGGAACAGGAGGAGACCUGUCCCCCAAACCUUUUUGGGAUCUCUGGAGUCUGAAUCUGCGUCCAUCUCAGCUCCUGUUCAGAGCUGGAGAGGAUACUGACUGGCAUGACUAAACUGGUGAGUCUCAGGUGAGUCUCAGGUGAGUCUCAGGUGAGUCUCAGGUGAGUCAGGUACGUCUCAGGUAAGUCUCAGGUACGUCUCAGGUGAGUCUCAGGUGACUCUCAGGUGAGUCAGGUACGUCUCAGGUAAGUCUCAGGUAAGUCUCAGGUGAGUCUCAGUUGAGUCUCAGGUACGUCUUAGAUGAGUCUCAGGUACGUCUCAGGUGAGUCUCAGGUACGUCUCAGGUAAGUCUCAGGUGAGUCUCAGGUACGUCUCAGGUACGUCUCAGGUGAGUCUCAGGUACGUCUCAGGUACGUCUCAGGUGAGUCUCAGGUACGUCUCAGGUACGUCUCAGGUGAGUCUCAGGUAAGUCUCAGGUGAGUCUCAGGUAAGUCUCAGGUGAGUCUCAGGUGAGUCUCAGGUGAGUCUCAGGUGAGUCUCAGGUGAGUCUCAGGUGAGUCAGUAAGGAGGACACAGGAGCAGCAGGAGGACUUGGAUUUAAUGAGUCAAACAUGUUGACAGAAAUGAAAAGAGGAACAUCAAACACUGGUCCUUCAAUCAGUCUGUUACAUCAUCACUUCCAGCUCCCCUGCAAACAAUCCAAACAAACUGAGCUGUGCUCUGAUUGGCCAAGAGUCCUGCUGAGCAGCCAAUCAGAGCAGUGUGAACAAAUGAAUCUUCAAGAGAAAAAAGACAAAAGAAAGGAUAAA